rnacentral:rRNA from 2 species
GAAGGGAGCUUGCUCCCGGAUGUUAGCGGCGGACGGGUGAGUAACACGUGGGUAACCUGCCUGUAAGACUGGGAUAACUCCGGGAAACCGGAGCUAAUACCGGAUAGUUCCUUGAACCGCAUGGUUCAAGGAUGAAAGACGGUUUCGGCUGUCACUUACAGAUGGACCCGCGGCGCAUUAGCUAGUUGGUGGGGUAAUGGCUCACCAAGGCGACGAUGCGUAGCCGACCUGAGAGGGUGAUCGGCCACACUGGGACUGAGACACGGCCCAGACUCCUACGGGAGGCAGCAGUAGGGAAUCUUCCGCAAUGGACGAAAGUCUGACGGAGCAACGCCGCGUGAGUGAUGAAGGUUUUCGGAUCGUAAAGCUCUGUUGUUAGGGAAGAACAAGUGCGAGAGUAACUGCUCGCACCUUGACGGUACCUAACCAGAAAGCCACGGCUAACUACGUGCCAGCAGCCGCGGUAAUACGUAGGUGGCAAGCGUUGUCCGGAAUUAUUGGGCGUAAAGGGCUCGCAGGCGGUUUCUUAAGUCUGAUGUGAAAGCCCCCGGCUCAACCGGGGAGGGUCAUUGGAAACUGGGAAACUUGAGUGCAGAAGAGGAGAGUGGAAUUCCACGUGUAGCGGUGAAAUGCGUAGAGAUGUGGAGGAACACCAGUGGCGAAGGCGACUCUCUGGUCUGUAACUGACGCUGAGGAGCGAAAGCGUGGGGAGCGAACAGGA